rnacentral:rRNA from 1 species
UACGUAGGGGGCGAGCGUUGUCCGGAUUUAUUGGGCGUAAAGAGCUCGUAGGCGGCUUGGCAAGUCGGGGGUGAAAACUCCAGGCUCAACCUGGAGAUGCCACUCGAGACUGCUAUGGCUAGAGUCCGGUAGGGGACCACGGAAUUCCUGGUGUAGCGGUGAAAUGCGCAGAUAUCAGGAGGAACACCGGUGGCGAAGGCGGUGGUCUGGGCCGGCACUGACGCUGAGGAGCGAAAGCGUGGGGAGCGAACAGG